CGGAGAUCAGGAAGAACAUCGGUGGCGAAGGCGCUCUGCUGGACCAUAACUGACACUCAGGGACGAAAGCUAGGGGAGCGAAUGGGAUUAGAUACCCCAGUAGUCCUAGCCGUAAACGAUGGAUACUAGGUGUUGUCUGUAUCGACCCGGACAGUGCCGUAGCUAACGCGUUAAGUAUCCCGCCUGGGGAGUACGCACGCAAGUGUGAAACUCAAAGGAAUUGACGGGGGCCCGCACAAGCGGAGGAACAUGUGGUUUAAUUCGAUGAUACGCGAGGAACCUUACCCGGGCUUAAAUUGCAGACGAAUUAUCUGGAAACAGGUAAGCCGCGAGGCGUCUGUGAAGGUGCUGCAUGGUUGUCGUCAGCUCGUGCCGUGAGGUGUCGGCUUAAGUGCCAUAACGAGCGCAACCCUUGCUGUCAGUUACUAACAGGUCAAGCUGAGGACUCUGACGGGACUGCCAUCGUAAGAUGUGAGGAAGGUGGGGAUGACGUCAAAUCAGCACGGCCCUUACGUCCGAGGUCGACGCGGCC
rnacentral:rRNA from 1 species